UGGCGACCGGCGCACGGGUGAGUAACGCGUAUCCAACCUGCCCUUUACUAUGGGACAGCCCGUCGAAAGGCGGAUUAAUACCGUAUGUUGUCAUGUUGAUGCAUAUUUUCAUGACCAAAGGCUUCGGCCGGUAAAGGAUGGGGAUGCGUCUGAUUAGCUUGCCGGCGGGGUAACGGCCCACCGGGGCGACGAUCAGUAGGGGUUCUGAGAGGAAGGUCCCCCACAUUGGAACUGAGACGCGGUCCAAACUCCUACGGAAGGCAGCAG
rnacentral:rRNA from 1 species